UACAGAGGAGCCAAGCGUUGUCCGGAUUGACUGGGCGUAAAGCGCACGUAGGCGGUCUGUUAUGUCGGAUGUGAAAGCCCUCGGCUCAACUGAGGAAGUGCAUCCGAAACUGGCAGGCUAGAGUACUAAAGAGGGUCGCGGAAUUCCCGGUGUAGAGGUGAAAUUCGUAGAUAUUGGGAAGAACACCGGUGGCGAAGGCGGCGAGCUGGCCUGUACCUGACGCUGAGGCGCGACAGCGUGGGGGAGCAAACAGG
rnacentral:rRNA from 1 species